GGACUGGUGGGUUUUGACCCACAUAAAAGAAAGCCGGAGCUGGUUACCAUGUGCACAUGCUCAGGGUGCACCUUGGGCUCGUUCUCAUUUUUAAGGUGGAUACAGAGGAAGGAGAGGGAAACGGCCUCAACUCUGGCAAAGUGGGGACAAGUCCUCUGUGACUCGAAGGGACUCCCUGCUUUGCUCAAAGUGCCCCUUGUUGCCUGGUGGCAAGUUUUGUUCUCCAAGACCAGUGACUGACUCCUGUUCAUGAUGCUUUUGGGGAAAGACAUUAGAUCCAUACAAGGUUAAUUACUAUUAUGCAAAGAAAUGAGCCCACACACCGUUCACAAUCCUUUUGGGUGGCACACGUGUUCAUUUCUCUUUCUUUUAAAAAAAAUCAUGCCUCUUUUUAUUUAUUUGAUAUCUUCUCUUGUCUUCUCCGCUCUGUUUCUGUAAAGAAUGAAAAUGCAGCCUCCACCAUGGUGGAUCAUGUAACUCUGUAUAAGCUCUUCCAAGGGUCUCCAUUCCGUUCAGGCCCUAACAAUAGCCCACGAAGCUGCAGGACCUGGCCUCUCACCCCUGGCUCACCUCCGACGCAUGUAUACAACAGAGAUGCCUGGAUUUCCUUUUACGUGACAGGUUCACAUGAGACAUCUUAUAGAAGCUGCUUUCUUCACCCAAUGCUGCACACAUUUCUAUGUCAAGGGCGAAUGCGGAGGAAAACCUGCCACCCCGUACACGCAGGCUUCUCCUUGGGAAAGAUGCUCUGCUAAUUGUGAACAUCAGCCAAAGCCCUGAAAGUGAUUCUAGCUGGAAAUGAGCAGGUCUCUGAAGCGGAAGAAGAGAUGGACUCUGGAGAAGAGGGUGUCUGCAGCCGUGGGGGUGAAGGUGACCACCCCGGGGAGAGGGGCAGUGCCGAGCCAAACUUCAGACGCCUCUGGGGGAUGCCGGGCACCCCAUCGGCCUGGCAUCCACAAAUGUUUCAGCCAGAUGUGCAGCCCUUGGAAUGAGCAGUCAGCAACUGCUUUGAAGAUAAAAAGCCCUGGGAGCCCACAGAGCGCCUCUGUUACUGGCGGGAGUGCGCCUUCUCCGCACCAGCACUGCUCACGGCUCUGCUCCAGCUGGUGAAAGGCAAACCCAGCCGGAAAUGCCAAGUGCAAGGAAGGGGAGCAAGUGAAAUGCUGGGGGUGGGAGAAGGGAAGGGGUGGGUGCCUGUGCUUUGAAAUUCUGUCCCGGAAAGGCCUCUUCAGUGGAUCCCCUUCCAACCUGCCCCAGUACAACAACUGGACGUGGCAUGUGACAGGCGCUGCCGACAGGUCACAUUUCACACACGCAGCUGUAAUAUCUGGCACGCAGGUGUUUGGUUCUGUGUUUGCCAGCUGCUCUGCAGCGCCCUGCUUUUCUGGAUGGGAUGGGGGAGGGGGAACCUCACACUUGUUGCUGCCAAAAGUGAGGAGGGGUUAGAAAUUCCUGCCAGUGGGCCAGGUGCUCAGCGUUGGAGUCAGUGCUUGAGUGUCCCCGUGCCUGCCUCAAAGGUCCUGGGGACAGGGAGUGGGUCUGCAUGGGAGGGGGAGCAAGGUGACCGGGAAGCCUCCAGCAAGCCGGCCAGGCCCCAGGAAGAUCCGUCGGGAGCGAGUGAGCAAGAGGAGAGUUGGCCCCUGGGCUCUCGAGUUGGGAAGAUAAGAGUUCAGAUCCCAACUCCACCUCUGAGUAAUUGUGAACUCUUGGCCAAGUUUCUUAACCUGUCUGGGCCUCAGUGUCCUAGUCUAUAAAAUGGAUUGUGGAACACCUGGUCCAUGGGCCGCUGGAAGGAUUCCAUGAGACAGGGUGUAAAGCACGCAGGGAAGCAGUGCUGCUUUUGCUGUCCCCACCUGGAAAGCGGGUCAGGCAGGCGCCUCCCAGGCUCCUGGGCCAGCACCCUGGACCAUUGCGCACGGCAAGCAAGCCUGGCCCAGCGGUUCUGCGUCUCAGGGUGGAUGGGCGGGCCCAGGUGGUCCCAGUGUCCAGACACAGAUACUUGGUUUCCUGCUCUUUCUUCUUCCUCAGAGAGGAAGACGACUGUGUACUCAGAAAACUAAAGUCACUGAGAAAGCACAAAGCAGGGCGUUUGGGCUUGCGCCUCCCACCUCCAGCCCCCCAGCCUCCCCAACCCAGAACUCACCAGAGAUUGUUCAUGGCUGUGGCUGUUACUCGGAGGUGUCUCUCCCUCCUCCGCUGGACUCUCUGGAGGCCGUGGGCCACGUCCACUUUGCCCGCCACUCCUUUCCAUUCUCUGCAGGCAAGAAGGUUGGAAAAACGUUUGCUGAGGGAGCAAAGGCCUAAGUGUGUGGAUGAGUAGAAGGAGGUCCUCACUUCUUCUGCCUCUCUCAUCCCUAUUUAAAAAAAAUUUUGGGGGGCAAAUUUAUGGUUACUAGGGUAGGGGGGAGAGGAGAGGGAGGGAUAAAUUGAGAGCUUGGGAUUGGCUUAUUAAACUACUAUGUACCAAACAGAUAAAAACAAAGUCCUAGUCUAUAUCACAGGAGAUUAUAUUCUAUGGCUUGUAGUAACAUGUAAUGAAAAAGAAUAUGAAAAAGAAUAUAUAUAUAUAAAACUGAAUCACUAUGC